rnacentral:rRNA from 1 species
AUCAAACUUGAGAGUUUGAUCCUGGCUCAGAACGAACGCUGGCGGCGUGCCUAACACAUGCAAGUCGAACGAAGGCCCUAGCUUGCUAGGUGUCCUUAGUGGCGAACGGGUGAGUAACGCGUGGGAACCUACCCAAGUAUGGGGGACAACUACGGGAAACUGUAGCUAAUACCGCAUACGCCCUACGGGGGAAAGGCUUCGGCCGUACCUGGAGGGGCCCGCGUCGGAUUAGUUUGUUGGUGAGGUAACGGCUCACCAAGGCUACGAUAGAUAGGGGCCCUGAGAGGGGGAUCCCCCACACUGGUACUGAGACACGGACCAGACUCCUACGGGAGGCAGCAGUGAGGAAUAUUGGACAAUGGAGGCAACUCUGAUCCAGC